CGGGGAGGAAGGGAGUAAAGUUAAUACCUUUGCUCAUUGACGUUACCCGCAGAAGAAGCACCGGCUAACUCCGUGCCAGCAGCCGCGGUAAUACGGAGGGUGCAAGCGUUAAUCGGAAUUACUGGGCGUAAAGCGCACGCAGGCGGUUUGUUAAGUCAGAUGUGAAAUCCCCGGGCUCAACCUGGGAACUGCAUCUGAUACUGGCAAGC
rnacentral:rRNA from 1 species